UUUGUUUGUUUGUUUGUUUGUUUAUUUUGUUUUUUAAGACAGGAUUUCUCUGUGUAGUUUUGGUGCCUAUCCUGGAUCUCACUCUACAGACCAGGCUGGCCUCAGACUCACAGAGAUCUGCCUGGCUCUGCUUCCCAAGUGCUGGGAUUAAAGGCAUGCACCACCACAGCCAAGCUAAGAAUGCAUCUUUUAAGUCCAACACAGUGUAAACUUUAUGCUCUGAUGGUAGGACAUUGAGCAAAGCAUAGGGAUUUGGGACAGUUGGGUAAAUGGAUGCUAUCCUCUUGUUCACUUCCCUCAAGUCUUGUAUUGAUCUAUAGUCUUGAGUUCCAGGCUUUUGGACAGGCAACAAGAGGGUAUUCCAGGCUGACUAGCAAGGAAUAAGUAUGCCUGCUUCAAGGAUGUGAAUCUUAUUCUCUUCCCUGGCUUCUGAACUGAUGGGGUAUUGCUUACUCCAAUGGGCACUGCCUCAGAUGUUAGUUACACUAUGAUGGGGGCACAUGUUUGGCCAAGCCAAGAGGCUUGUCCUCUGCCCAAACUGUGGGAAUUUCCUGGGUCAGCAACUUUUUCCAUUCCCCUUCCAGGGAAUGUGUUGGAUUUUGGAGGGGCGGCUAUCCCUCACUUAUUGGGCAGGUUAUAGUUAAAGCAGGGCCUCCCAGUUGCAACCUAGGAGAAUCUCCUGAGAAUGAUAUUGUUGCCUGGAGCUUGUUCAAGAGGUCCCACCCCAGUUAAAAGGCAGGAACAUUCAGGAAUAACAAUGAAAGAAUGAGCCACUGCUCCUCGUCCUAGGUUAAUAGUCCAAUCAGUGGUCCAUUUGUAUUCUUUGACAUCCCUUGUUAACCCCUGAACUUCCAUUGUUUGGUUGGUAAGGGGGCCCAGAGGCUCUUGUCAUAACAUAUGAGUAGCCCCUGUGUCCACCAGAAAUUUUGCAGGUUGGCACCCUAUGGUGAAGGUUACAAUAGGCUUCUGGGGACCUAGUUCAAAGGAGCCUCAGCCUCACUAAUCCUAUAUAGCUAGGAUUGGUUUGCGUUUGGAGGUCUACCUGUUUCUGGCAUGGACAGUCAGACCUAUGACCAAUGACCUAUUUCCUUACAGGAAGCAGGCAUACUUAUUCCUUGCUUACAUUCCUUUUGUAAAGGUCUCCUCCUUUUAUCAUGGUGUGCAUGGCCAGAGUUGAGAGUAUCUGAGACUUCAGGGCAACCAUGGUGGCAUGCCCCAUCUUCUUUAUCAGAAGACCUUCACCAUCAAACACCUUCUGUGCUGUCUCCCAUAGAUCUCACCUGUUCUUUCCUGCAAACCCAUCUAUCUUUUGUGUCUUUCUACAUAUGUCAGGGGCUAAUUGAGUAACAAAGGCCAGGUUCAUCGCGUUGAGAUUUGCCGGGUACUCUGGGUCAAUAGGAGUGUAUAGCCAACAGGUGUCCAGGAGAUGCUCCAGGAAAGCUGAAGGCGAUUCAUCUGGGCCCUGUUUCACAUCUGUUACCUCAGGUAAGUUAGUGGGCUUCCGGACUGCCCAUGUCAUCCCUUCGAGGAGAGCCUGGUGGUAUUCAUUGAGUGACCUCCUGCUCCUCUCUGUGUUACAGUCCCACUGGGGUCUCCUUCUUGGCAGAGCACAGUCAAUCGCCUCUGCCCUCUGGUCACCAGCCAUUGACGCUAUUCUGGGGAGUGCUUUGAUUGCUUUCAUGAGAAUCCAUUCCCUUUCUUCAGCGGUAAAGAGGACUGAAGUGGGAAUGAAGUCACGCUGUCCUUUAUCUGAUGAUGAAGCUGAGAGGCUGAGCAUCUGAGCCGCACAGAGAUAAGAGCCUGAAGUCACGGAUGCCGCUCCUUGUGUGGGGGAGAAGACUCCAGACCACUGCUGCCAGGACAGUAGGGAAGGGAACUCGAUAUCCAGAGUUAAGACGGACAUCCUCGAGUAGAUUUGCCCUAGGAAGGCUGAAGGAAGUGCCUGCUCUGCCAUUGUGUGCAGUGUGCUCAUGUCUUUAAGCCUUCUGAGGAUCCUAGGAUGUAGCUAUCGUUCCCACCCCACAGAGGAGAAGACAAGCACAGAGGUAACAGACCCACGGUUACCUACCUCCGUGUCAGACUUCUCACCCAGGGGACCUGACCAGAGCCUUUCUUGUAACCCUCUAUGCUAUGAUGGAAGAAAGCUCAAAGAGGGCAAGAUAGCACCUGCCUCACAGAGAGCCUGGGAGGACCGCAUUAGAAGAUGCACAUAUGAGCUUAUAGUACCUGCUUCACAGAGAGCCUGGGAGGACCGCAUUAGAAGAUGUACAUAUGAGCUUACAGUACCUGCUUCACAGAGUAGCUAGGAGGACCGCUUUAGAAGAUGCACAUAUGAGACUAUAGCACCUGCUUCACAGAAUGACUGGGAGAAUCACACUAGAAAAUGCACAUACGGUGAGCUUCAUUUACACUCUGAUGUGCCGAGUGAGUGUGUGGAGAUGGCAGCCACGACUGUUUCUGGAAAAACAGGACAAUAGCAAAACAGCAAAUUCUACAGAAAAUUAAAUUAGCAAUCACAAAAUUAUUCACAUUUCUUAGAGUUAUGCUAUCAAGAACUCAUGUAUUUCAAAUUAUUCAUAGUUAACUAGAUUAUACAUUCAAAAACACUUGCUCACGAUCAACUAUGAGGCACCAUUUUAUUUUGAAGAAUUUUGCAUUGGCAUAUUUUUGUUCUUGCUUUUAUUUUUUGAGACAACAUCCUGUGCAGCCCAGACUGGCCUUGAUUCUGCUGCUCCUGCUUCCCCAGGAUUACAGGCAUGUCACACUAUACCCAACUCUGACAUUGCUAUUCAAAAAUAAACAUUCUUUUCAAAGAGUUGAACAUAUAUCACCAAAGGGGGUCAGGUGUUAAUGCCUUUAUAUUGCUUUCUAAACACCGCAGAGAGAGACUGGAACAGACAAAACCUGAUCAGCAAAGUGACUCCCUUGUGGGAGAAAAGUAAGAGAAGGUAAGUAAGGACAAUGGCAGUCAGGACCUUGGCAUUUAAAAAGAAUUAUCUUAACCCCUAAAUUAUUAAAUGGAAAAUUCCAGAAAUAGACACCUCAUACAUCUUAAAUUGCAUGAUAGCUCAAAUAGCAUUUUUUUUUUGCCUUUUUUUUUGGUUUUUCGAGACAAGGUUUCUCUGUGUAGUUUUGGUGCCUGUCCUGGAUCUUGCUCUGUAGACCAGGCUGG